rnacentral:rRNA from 1 species
GUGGGGAAUAUUGGACAAUGGGCGAAAGCCUGAUCCAGCCAUGCCGCGUGUGUGAAGAAGGUCUUCGGAUUGUAAAGCACUUUAAGUUGGGGGGAAGGGCAGUAAGUUAAUACCUUGCUGUUUUGACGUUACCGACAGAAUAAGCACCGGCUAACUUCGUGCCAGCAGCCGCGGUAAUACGAAGGGUGCAAGCGUUAAUCGGAAUUACUGGGCGUAAAGCGCGCGUAGGUGGUUCGUUAAGUUGGAUGUGAAAGCCCCGGGCUCAACCUGGGAACUGCAUCCAAAACUGUCGAGCUAGAGUACGGUAGAGGGUGGUGGAAUUUCCUGUGUAGCGGUGAAAUGCGUAGAUAUAGGAAGGAACACCAGUGGCGAAGGCGACCACCUGGACUGAUACUGACACUGAGGUGCGAAAGCGUGGGGAGCAAACAGGAUUAGAAACCCCAGUAGUCC